ensembl:lncRNA
GGAUGAAGACACUUUGCUUCCAAGCCUGAUGACUAAGUUUGUCCCUGGAACCUACUCAGCAGAAAGAGAUCCAACUCGUAAAAGAUCUCCUAAACGUACACAGGUGCUCUGCAUUGUACAUGCAUGUGAGCAAGCACACACACACACACACACACACACACACACACACACGGGGGGGGGCUAUAAAUGCUCACAAAACACAUAUACAAUAAAUGUCAUAUAUUUUUAAAUAUUUAUUUAAAAAAUUAAUCUCUCCUGUUUGAAAAGUCCAAACUGGAACCAGCACUCUACUUGUCAGAUUCCUGGUGACUCCGCCUGCACUGGCCUACCCACUUAAUCUCUUCAGUUUAGCUUCAUAUCGUCUCUGACUCCAGGACAGCAGAGCAAUGCUUGAGGUGCUCACGUCAUAUCCAGCAUGUGCCAACUCUCUGAUGCGAGUUUUUAAAGUAUGUAUGCUCAAGUCUAAUACCCUUGAAGUUUCAAGUAUUUGUGAAGUACUGAUUUUCUCUUCUAAGAGGCAGUCUAUUUUAUCAUUGAACUUUUUCUCUGACAAGAAGAUCAUAUUCAGAUAGCUUAGGACAAACUUCUGUACCUCCUCCUCAGUGCAUCCGAGAGAGAGCAGCCUCUUUGAUGUUUGUAUAGUUUCUUUUGGUACAGUCCUUGGAAAGGUCUAAGAUUCUGGCUCCUGGACCACAUACCAGAAGCAGCAGGUCCUCUCUGACUAAGUUGAAAGUUGACUGUAAAAAUUCAAUGUUAAUUUUCACACGUUUGGUACUCUGAAUUAAGACGGAAGGAUUUUUACUAAUUACCUUCCAGACAAAAAUUUGUGGGAACGUUGUGACGUAAGGAUAUGCUGGUUUCCUGCAAAUAUUCAACCAUUUGUUUAUUCAAAUUCAGACUGUUGGAGAAGGUCCUGGGAGCACUGGUCAACAGUCGGCAGAGGCAUUUAUGAGUCAAGCCAACAGAGCAGAGGAACUUUAUGUUAUUCUCUAAGUUUAGGUUGUUAUUAGACAGAAAGAAGGAUUCAGGAGAACACUCCAAACUAUUUACAAUUUCAAGGUCUGAUGCCAUAAUCUCUCUCCACAGAUCCCACCGUUUUGAAAGACUUUCAGGAGUGCGUGUUAUGGCUCGUGGAUAUCUUGAUAUGAUGCUACCAAUCACUUUGUCACUUGCUCUUUGAAUAGAAGGAACAUCUUCAGCUCCUGCUCAUUCGUAAAACUCCAGGCUGUCCUCUGCCAUGUCGAGAUCAACUGGCAUUGAUGAGGGUGGUAAAGACUGUGAUCUCUUAGCUCUCUCCUCCUGUGGCCAUACCUCCCUGUCCCAUGUCUUCUUGUCAUGUUGGAUUCUUACUCUCUACAAUGAACCCAAAGACCAUCAGGAGCCAAUUCUGAAGCAAACACAUAAGCAACUUUAUUACAAGUUUGGGAGCAAGGACUUUCACCAUCAUCUUUGUGGAGGAGGGUCAGAAGUGAGAGCUCUAGUCUAGGGGUUCAAGGUAUUUAUUAUGGUUACAGCAAACUUGGGGGAAUUUUCAUAUGCGUCAGCAAGUUAAUACUUUAAAAACUGUAUUUUUAAAACUGUGUAAUCUGUAGGAAACAAACAUGGGGCAAAAUCACCUGACAAGCAGGAUAGCCAGGUUAUCUAUUUUCUUCAGGAUGUCUUAGGUUAUCUCUGUGUACCUUGACCCUGCUGUUGUAGCCUGAUUGGCUGUUGAUAAGGGGGGUGCAAUAGGAUGGCUGUUCUGUUUAUGCAAUCUCAAAAACUGAGUUGGUUGAGAUUUAAAAAGUAUCAUGUCUCCUGGGCUGGGAUAGUUUUCCAAACAUUCCUUGUUUUUGAUGAGCUUGACAACUUUCAAAGAACUGGUCGAGGACUGGGAAAGUGCUCUUCAACUGGAGGAGCAGGAUUUAUCUCCUGCUUUUCUCAUGACUAGAUUAGGGUUAGUGUUAUUGUAAGGGGAAGAUGGUGCAGCUAAAGUGAACCGAUAAAUGUGUCAAAUGGUGA